rnacentral:pre_miRNA from 1 species
UCCUCGAUUUACCGACUCUCCCCAUUCCUUGUGAUUGCUGACGACUAUAUAAAGUCAUCAUAUUGAAUAGGGAGGCUCAGUUCAAUCGCUGAC